GAAUGCAAUUACAUCAAUUCUACAGUUCAAUUUGGGAGAAUUGACAUGGUACCUAUAUUGAGUCGUCUGACCGGUGAACAUGUAAUUUCUUGCAAUUUGCUUAAGUCUUCUUUAAUUUCUCUCAGCAGUAGUUUUCAAUAUACAGAUCUUGAAAUUCUUAUCUAUAUGCAGACCUCUUAAGCAUUCAAGUUUUAAAUUCUACUGCGUUGUUAUUGCAAAAUGAAGCAGGCACAACAAUAUUAAAUCCUCGAGUGAAGGACUAAGUAAAUAAAAAUAGAAGAAAAAAUAAACAGCAAAUACGCUUGGGCUGCUUCCCAUGAUUUUUUUUCAAACAAAUAUUGAUCUCAUUUAGCAUUUCUGAUAGUUUCAUAGCCAUAGAUUAAUAGCUAGAUGGCAAAAAGACUUCAGAAGGGUUAAGCUACACAACACUAUAUUAAUGUUUUAAAUCAUUUAUCACAGUCUAUAUUUCUUGAAAAUAUUCUACUACUAAAAUGCAAGGUCAAAUUAAUUAGUUUUUGAACUUUUCUUAUAUUUUUGAAACUUAUGUUUUAACUGACACUACAAGAAAAAUACAGAACACAUGACUUCUUAUACCUUGAGUAACUAUAUCUAGGGCAGUUAACUUCAGGGCCAUAUAUACUUUGCUUUAACGGUCAAUGUCUUCUACUAAUGCCUCAAGGUUUUUGCAACAAGCUUUAACUUCCUCAAUUGCAGCCAUCCAAUUAUCAUAAAUAAUUUUGUCAUAAAUUUCAUCAUUAACUUCUCUAACUACCCCCUCCUGCUGUGAUUCAAGUGCAUCACCUGAGAAAAAUAAUACUGAUCUUGGAAUUAUGUAAGUACGUAAAUUGUGACCAAGUAGAAAAUCAUCAUUUCCAUCCCUUCCAUUUGAGGUGAAUCCAUGAGGAGAGAAAAAAUUGAAAAAUGAAUCCUUGGGAAAAUCUUCAGUUACAGUUCGGAUUGUUCCCCAGAUCCGAUGUUUCUGUCUCUUCUUUAUCGUUUUUAAAGUGACAUUCUUUCCUUCAUUCCAAUCUAUCUCACAGCCUGUGGAAUACUCAAUCGCAGUUCCCCUAUAGGGAUGGGGAUCAUAAUAUGCUAGCUUUGACUUCAGCACAUAGGUCUUUGUCAACAACUCAUUUUUGAAAUAUUCAUUGGGUUUGAAGUGAAAUUCUAGUGUGAAACUGAGAGGCUCGCCAGGAUCUGAAAGCUUAACUUUAAUAUCUGUCAGGAGCUUCAGAAUAGGCUCAUCAUAUUUCUUAAUCAAAGGAGUGAGUGCAUCAACGUUUUUUUAAAACAGUCAGCCAAAAAUCAGGAAUUCCCUUCGGAUCCUCCUCUUCCUUAUUCUCUUCUCCAGUAGCCUCAAUGUCAUCAUCAUCAUCAUCAUCGUCAUCCUCCUCCUCCUCCACAGCAUAAUCAUAAUAAUAGUCCUCAUAGCCAUCGUCCUCAUCCACAUACUCAUGUACCAUUCCCUCCUCAUUACCAUACAUCUCUUCAUCAUACAUUUCCUCAUCGUCAUAGUCCUCAGAGUCUGAUUUAUAUUCACAUUCCUCUUCUGUAGGUUCAUAGAUUGCAUUGAUGAUCUGACGUCUUUUUUCCAGUAAGGGCUGAUACAUUUCAGCAAACUUUCUUUCAAUGUCAUGAAAUUCCCUCAGGAAUUUGGAUUCUAAAUUGGCCGCUCUAGUUUGAAGCUUUUUAAGGGCCAACACACGGUACUUAACUUUCACAGGCAGACUUUCAACAAAGUCUGU
ensembl:lncRNA